rnacentral:rRNA from 1 species
UGGGGGAUAUUGCACAAUGGGCGAAAGCCUGAUGCAGCGACGCCGCGUGGGGGAUGAAGGCCUUCGGGUUGUAAACUUCUUUUGCUCUGAACAAGGCAUGCUAAUGGGUGUGUUGAGUGUAGGGGUUGAUUAGCGCCGGCUAACUACGUGCCAGCAGCCGCGGUAAUACGUAGGGCGCGAGCGUUGUCCGGAAUUAUUGGGCGUAAAGGGCUUGUAGGUGGUUGGUUGCGUCUGUCGUGAAAGCUCAUGGCUUAACUGUGGGUUUGCGGUGGGUACGGGCUGGCUUGAGUGCAGUAGGGGAGGCUGGAAUUCCUGGUGUAGCGGUGGAAUGCGCAGAUAUCAGGAGGAAUACCGGUGGCGAAGGCGGGUCUCUGGGCUGUUACUGACACUGAGGAGCGAAAGCAUGGGGAGCGAACAGG